rnacentral:rRNA from 1 species
GGGGAAUAUUGCACAAUGGGCGAAAGCCUGAUGCAGCAAUGCCGCGUGUGUGGAGAAGGCCUGCGGGUUGUAAAGCACUUUCAGUGGGGAGGAAACAGUUGCGGGUUAAUAUCCCGCGACCUUGACGUUACCC